ensembl:lncRNA
GUUUUAAGCCACCUUCAGGCUCUGCUGAUCCUGGAGCCAGGAUCCUACACCUGGGAGGAAUCUCACUGAUGUCAGAAGUGAAGUCCACAGGAUUCCAUGGAUGUGCACAGUCUAUGCUAAUUUAUGGCAAAACAAUACAAUACCAGCUACAGAAAGGAUCAGUGUGGAGAAUCCUGUUUUGUCACUGGCAGAAUUGGCUCUUCUUCUGCUUGGUCCUGGCAGUAAUGACUAUCAUUCCCCUUGCAGUCUAUCGAAUGAUGGUAGCUUUUAAGGACCCUCCACCCAGUCCUGUAUUCCACGCAGCAGCUGUGUGCUUCGGAGUUCUCGCAGAGACUCUUCUGAUCAAAUAUGUAUUGUAUUACUGCAGCAGCAAAUACAACGAGGCCAAGAUGUCUUCAUUUUCCGUCAGAGCGAGAACUAUAGAACAAUGUGAUCGAGGCGCUGGUCUUCUGUGGCCAGCCGGUCAGAACCCAUCAACAGCUGUGAUGAGCAGAGCAGAGAUGGGGAAACAGGAGGCAGUCAAAGCCAAAGAAGGUUUCGGCCUGAAGCUGUGUGUAUGACUGAAGCAGAGCAAGGCCGGGACCCAAGGAAACCCCAGCAGCAAGGGAAAAAACAGAUUGACUCUCAGUGACUCAUUUAGCUCCUGGAUUGGACAGAUCUCUCCCCUGCUGGCAGUUUGGCUGAAUAUCAAUGGGACAGAUACCAGGAUGAAUAGCUUAAAAUAAUUAGGGGGCCAAUCUGCAAAACUGCUCUCAUCCAAUUCUUUACUGUGUGAUGAAAGACACAAAACAAAUUACAUUUAGAUUAUUAAAUAUUAAGUCACUGGAUUUACCUACAUUUGGUCCAAAGCAGGAAACUGGAUAAAAUUCAAUUUUAUGUCAUUGUGUUGAUGGCCUGUUUUUCAUCAAAGAGUGAGUGUUUUUUGGCAGGUCAGACUCUUUGACACAUGGGGAAAAUAGGUGCUUAAUUUAAAUGAAAAUUAAUGCAAUCAUAAUUAACACAAAUGUGAACAGAAUUAAACACAGGCAAGAGUUUAGUUUAAUGCUUAGCAGUUUAAACUAUAUGUUUUAGGAAACGUCCUGCUUCAGUUGAAGACAAUGGCAGUGUUGCCACCGAAUUCAAUGGAAACUAGAGUAGGCCUUGUAGGUAGAAAGGCAGGAUUCCCUGUACUUUAUAUUUAAUGCACAAAAACAGAAGCAUCAAGCUCAUUUAGUAUCAGUAAAGGUCAGUUAAAAUUCUAGAGACAUCCUUUGGAGCAAAUCUUCUGCCUUGUAUUUGCAUAUUUAUGAACUAGAGAUUAUGACAGGCCAUUCCAUUUAUUAGUGCAGCGCUGCUAUAGUUAAUAGUCUGUCAGCAUUUCCAUUAUAAACCCCGUUUUUCAGUGUUUUAAUUUCUCAGCCAUUUGAAAUCACAUCAGGAAGCAACGUAGCCCUUGUGUUGUCAGGCCAGGUGCAUUUUUAAAGAAGUAAAUAAAUAAAAAUAUAUUUAAAUGAGCUUAGCCA